AUGACCAGGAAACUGUUUCAUAGAAGUCUCUUGAGUCUGCUAAUCUUGUUUAAACCUGUUCUAAGCAGGCAAUCAGAUGCUGCUGACACAUGUCAUCUGCUUCUGUCAGACUGGGACCAUUCAGCCCUGCCUGAAAUAGGAUAUGAGGCAGAAAAGCACAUGAAAAAAGAGAAGCUCAGGACAGGGCUGGAUGAGUGGCUCCUCUUCCAUGGGAUGAAUCCAUCCCACGUGCCUGCCAUCUGCGAGCAGAAUUUCAACUGGAGGAUCUGUGGCACUCAUGGGACAAUGCAUGGAAAAGAGAGAUGCCAGUUGCUCUCAUCAGUACUGCCCAUCCAGCACCAGCUACCACAGUGUGUUUGUAGCUCUAGAUGUCGUUCGAGACUUUGUUCAUGGCAACAAGGCCUACCUUUGCCCUCCACCUAGACCUGAGAUUUCAAACAGACUUUUGGACAGCUGUGUAGAUGAUCAAAAAAAUCCUUCAAUUUUUGUCAUCUUUGAGAAGAACCAGAUUUAUCCUGCCUGUAUCCUGGAGUAUACUUGUAGGAUGCUGUCAGAG
rnacentral:lncRNA from 1 species